rnacentral:rRNA from 1 species
GACGAACGCUGGCGGCGUGCCUAAUACAUGCAAGUAGAACGCUGAAGAGAGGAGCUUGCUCUUCUUGGAUGAGUUGCGAACGGGUGAGUAACGCGUAGGUAACCUGCCUUGUAGCGGGGGAUAACUAUUGGAAACGAUAGCUAAUACCGCAUAACAAUAGGUGACACAUGUCAUUUAUUUGAAAGGGGCAAUUGCUCCACUACAAGAUGGACCUGCGUUGCAUUAGCUAGUAGGUGAGGUAACGGCUCACCUAGGCGACGAUACAUAGCCGACCUGAGAGGGUGAUCGGCCACACUGGGACUGAGACACGGCCCAGACUCCUACGGGAGGCAGCAGUAGGGAAUCUUCGGCAAUGGGGGCAACCCUGACCGAGCAACGCCGCGUGAGUGAAGAAGGUUUUCGGAUCGUAAAGCUCUGUUGUAAGUCAAGAACGAGUGUGAGAGUGGAAAGUUCACACUGUGACGGUAGCUUACCAGAAAGGGACGGCUAACUACGUG